CAGAACGAACGCUGGCGGCAGGCUUAACACAUGCAAGUCGAACGCGUGUAGCAAUACACGAGUGGCGCACGGGUGAGUAACGCGUGGAUAUCUGCCUUUGGUUCGGAAUAACUCCGGGAAACUGGAGCUAAUACCGGAUGGUUCCUACGGGAUAAAGAUUUAUCGCCAAAAGAUGAGUCCGCGUACGAUUAGCUAGUUGGUGAGGUAAUGGCUCACUAAGGCGACGAUCGUUAGCUGGCCUGAGAGGACGAUCAGCCACACUGGGACUGAGACACGGCCCAGACUCCUACGGGAGGCAGCAGUGGGGAAUAUUGGACAAUGGGGGCAACCCUGAUCCAGCCAUGCCGCGUGAGUGAUGAAGGCCUUCGGGUUGUAAAGCUCUUUUGGCGGGGACGAUGAUGACGGUACCCGCAGAAUAAGCCCCGGCUAACUUCGUG
rnacentral:rRNA from 1 species